UACAGAGGUCUCAAGCGUUGUUCGGAUUCAUUGGGCGUAAAGGGCGCGUAGGCGGCGGGGUAAGUCGGGGGUGAAAUCUCAGAGCUCAACUCUGAAACUGCACUCGAUACUGCUCUGCUUGAGGACUGGAGAGGAGACUGGAAUUCACGGUGUAGCAGUGAAAUGCGUAGAUAUCGUGAGGAAGACCAGUGGCGAAGGCGGGUCUCUGGACAGUUCCUGACGCUGAGGCGCGAAGGCCAGGGGAGCAAACGGG
rnacentral:rRNA from 1 species